UACAGAGGUCUCAAGCGUUGUUCGGAUUCAUUGGGCGUAAAGGGCGUGUAGGUGGCGCGCUAAGUCGGGUGUGAAAUUUCGGAGCUUAACUCCGAAACUGCAUUCGAUACUGCCGUGCUUGAGGACUGGAGAGGAGACUGGAAUUUACGGUGUAGCGGUGAAAUGCGUAGAUAUCGUAAGGAAGACCAGUGGCGAAGGCGGGUCUCUGGACAGUUCCUGACGCUGAGGCACGAAGGCCAGGGGAGCAAACGGG
rnacentral:rRNA from 1 species